rnacentral:tRNA from 1 species
GACAUAAUGCUGGAUAAAACAGAUUACAUUGAUAGUGUAAAAUAUAAAUUAAUAAUUUUUAUGUUA